CUGACUUUAGUUUAAGUUAGAAUAGGGGUUUUGGGGAUUCUUGGUCUCUUUUUUGA
rnacentral:tRNA from 1 species